GCACCAUCACUACUUGGCCUUUCACUUUUGAUUAGUAAGUUGAACUGUGUGAGUUCAAGGCUUCUAGAGAUGAAGAGUUGUAAGCAUAAGAAAGCAAACACUCGGGGUUGGGGAUUUAGCUCAGUGGUAGAGCGCUUGCCUAGCAAGCACAAGGCCCUGGGUUCGGUCCCCAGCUCCAAAAAAAAAAAUUGGCUAAAAAAAAAAAGAAAGCAAACACUCUAGGAGUUCAGAAAUGUUCACUAGAAACUACCUCAAGUGCUCUUUUCCUCUGUGCUCUAUUUUUAAAAGAUUUUACUUAUAUUUGAAUGUCUGUACACUACCUUCUGUGCUAGAAGAGGGUGCUGGAACCCCUGGAACUAGAGGUACAGAUUGGUGGACUGCCAUGUGGGUGCUGGGGACCCAAACUGGGUGUUCUGUAAGAACAGCAGGAGCUUUUAACUGAAGCAGCCCCUGCAGCCCCGUGUUUGUGUUCUUAUUGAUAAGGUAUGGGGUGUUUCUGAUUGGCAUUGGUAAUGUGAACAAGGGCAGUGGUCUUUGAAGAAAAAUCAUUUUUUUUUACGACAUGCUGUGGUUUGUUUUAUGUGUGUGUUUUUGAAAUGGUAGUGUUGGGAAUCAAGCUUCCCACCUUGCUAACUUGGGAGCCUGCUGCUUUGCGUUGAGAGCAGCCAGUUUGGAGAAACUGAACAGAAGAGCUGAAAUGUAUUCGGUGAAAAACAUUUUACAUAAAGUAUUUCUUUCAAAAAAUGUAUUUUUGCGUUUGUUUAAAGACUUUAUGUGUACAGGUGUUUUGCCUGCGUGUACAUCUGUGUAUGCAGUACUCACAGAGGACAGAAGAGGACAUCAGAUCCCUGGAACUGGGAGAUCAAACAAACCCUCUAUUGAGCUCUGGGUAGACAGCCAGUGCUCUCACUGCCGAGCUCUAACUACAUCUCUCCCGCCCCUGAGAAAAAGAGCUUUGAUCUGGAUAAUUAAAGUCACAACACAAUCUGCUAGGCACUCCUGUGAGGACUUUGAUGGUUUGAAGUGGGAAGACCCACCAUGGCAACCCAUAGCAAAGGAAGGAUGUGGAAGAAGGAAACUUUUCUUCUUGCUUUCACUUCUGGCAAGUUCGUCUGUCGUGUUGCUGCAGCAUUAGACCAGAGCUCUCCAGGAGUCCUCUCGUGCCCCAGGUCGGACUGCCGAGACUUCGUGCCUCAUGAACUGAACAGCCAGGGUUUUGGCCUUUGAUGCCAGACAGUUAGUGUUGGAAUGCCUGGACUAUAAUGUAAGCCAAUCUAAUAAGCCUCCUUAUGACAUUAAUUCCCUUUAUUCUGUUCCAUAAAGAACCAUAGUACAACCCUUGGAAUCCAUGGGAAGUCAUUAGAGGUUAAGAAUCUGUUAUGGCUUCAAAUGUGUCCUCCCCAGACAUCCAUGUUGUGAACGUAGCAGCCAG
ensembl:lncRNA